rnacentral:rRNA from 1 species
UACGAAGGGGGCUAGCGUUGCUCGGAAUCACUGGGCGUAAAGCGCACGUAGGCGGAUUGUUAAGUCAGGUGUGAAAUCCUGGAGCUCAACUCCAGAACUGCCUUUGAUACUGGCGAUCUUGAGUCCGGGAGAGGUGAGUGGAACUCCGAGUGUAGAGGUGAAAUUCGUAGAUAUUCGGAAGAACACCAGUGGCGAAGGCGGCUCACUGGUCCGGUACUGACGCUGAGGUGCGAAAGCGUGGGGAGCAAACAGG